rnacentral:rRNA from 1 species
UACGAAGGGGGCUAGCGUUGCUCGGAAUUACUGGGCGUAAAGGGAGCGUAGGCGGACAUUUAAGUCAGGGGUGAAAUCCCGGGGCUCAACCUCGGAAUUGCCUUUGAUACUGGGUGUCUUGAGUAUGAGAGAGGUGUGUGGAACUCCGAGUGUAGAGGUGAAAUUCGUAGAUAUUCGGAGGAACACCAGUGGCGAAGGCGACACACUGGCUCAUUACUGACGCUGAGGCUCGAAAGCGUGGGGAGCAAACAGG